rnacentral:rRNA from 1 species
CCCUUAGAUGUUCUGGGCCGCACGCGCGCUACACUGAUGCAUUCAACGAGUUUCUUCCUGGUCCGAGAGGAAUGGGUAACCUUUUGAAAGUGCAUCGUGAUAGGGAUAGACUAUUGCAAUUAUUGGUCUUCAACGAGGAAUUCCUAGUAGACGUAGUUCAUCAGACUGCAUGGAUUACGUCCCUGCCCUUUGUACACACCGCCCGUCGCUCCUACCGAUUGAAUGUUCCGGUGAGCUCUUCGGACUGCGCGGUCUGCAGUUUCUGCGUUCCGUGCGGAAAGUUGCGCAAACCUUAACAUUUAGAGGAAGGAGAAGUCGUAACA